rnacentral:rRNA from 1 species
UACAGAGGUCUCAAGCGUUGUUCGGAUUCAUUGGGCGUAAAGGGUGCGUAGGCGGCGCGGGUAAGUCGGGUGUGAAAUCUCGGAGCUUAACUCCGAAACUGCAUUCGAUACUGCCGUGCUUGAGGACUGGAGAGGAGACUGGAAUUUUACGGUGUAGCGGUGAAAUGCGUAGAUAUUGGGAAGAACACCGGUGGCGAAGGCGGCCAUCUGGACCGGAACUGACGCUGAGGCGCGAA